GAGCGACGCGGGGCAGCGGUUAGAUGUAAACACAUCUUUCUGUGUCAUUCUUGUGGUUUGCAGCUAGUAAUCUGGCUCCAGUUGCAUAGUCACAAAAAUGAGCACGGACUGAUGUGGCUGCAGC
rnacentral:miRNA from 1 species